GACGGAAGGGGCAAGCGUUGCUCGGAAUCACUGGGCGUAAAGUGUGCGUAGGCGGCCGCGCAAGUCUGGCGUGAAAGCCCCGGGCUCAGCCCGGGAAGGGCGCUCGAAACGGCGCGGCUCGAGUGCCGGAGGGGAGAGUGGAAUUCCUGGUGUAGCGGUGAAAUGCGCAGAUAUCAGGAGGAACACCAAUGGCGAAGGCAGCACUCUGGGACGUGACUGACGCUGAGACGCGAAAGCGUGGGGAGCAAACAGG
rnacentral:rRNA from 1 species